CUAAUACCCAGUGGAGUGCAUUAACUCUUAUGAUUGCUUAAAUUGAUUUUACUGUUUUAUCAGUUACUAUUGAACAAAUGAAAGGAUGCUGAUGAAGCAGUGUACUGUAGGCUUGUCUGCAAAGUUUCUCUUGGAGUCAUCUCCAUAUGAAUGAUUUCAUACAGCACAGAAAUAGUUUUAUGUAGAUAUUGACCUUGGAAAGAAACAAAACCAUGGCUUGGUAUUGAGGUUAGGUACAUGGAUCACGAAUUGCCCUGCAAAGAGAAGGCUCUAAUGAGGGUGUCACCAGCCUGCGUCCUCCAUGUUGGUGUGUGGUGGCCACGGCCGGCUGGCAGGUGCUGCGGAGCUGCACCCUCCCCUCCUCAGCAGGUCGGGCAGAAACCAAAGUGGAAAAGUCUGUGGUAGAGAGGAAGCCAGGAAGAUGGCUUAGCAGUUACUGGCAUGUGCAGAUAGACUCAGCUUGGGGACAAUUAGUUUAUUGCCAAUUAAAACCAGAUUGGCCCAGUCAUGGCCUGAGGUGGGGCUGUUGGCACCUGCUGUGACAGGUCUGGGGCAGCUGCGGCCUGUCCUCACAGCACCCUGCAGGCCGCAGUGCGUCAGCACCCCAAAUACUGUGGUGAAACAGGAAGAUUUAAUGUACAACAGAGAGCAAGGACAACUUGUCCCUAGCCCUGUUAGAGGGCAAACAGGAGAUGUUAAAGGAGAAGACCAGUUCAGAAGGAGCAGGAAUGUGAAAUGUAAACGGGAGGGAAGGAAAAAGAAAAUUGAAAAUCUAAACGUCAUUGCUUUUUCU
rnacentral:lncRNA from 1 species